UUGAUCAACGGUCAGCAGGCGCGCUGGCGCCUUAUCUUCAUGGGAAAAGACAUUUCUAGCGAUACACGCCUGCUUCUGAAUGGACAGCUCCACAAUGUUCUUUGGUCCCCUAGGAGACAUCUUCGGAUCGCUUCGAGUCAGCGACGGACGUCUGGAAAGCUGUCUAAUGGAAGAAAUAGGUUGCUGCUCAGAGAAUAACAACGGAUUGAAAGGACGAAGGGAGGUAGUGAGCAAGGAUGGUCUAGUUUCGCUCGUGCUGAGGGAAGAAGCAGCUGCAAGAUGAAGCUAGAAUUGAGAGCGUACCUUGUAUGCAGAACACAGCUUUAACUGUAAAGAUUAGCUUAAUGUGUUAGCCUAACAUGAACUUUUUUACGUUUCCUUUGAUCAGCCUUUAUUCCUGGAGCGGUUGGAAAGAAAAGAAAUCGUUCAAAUAGACAGAUAACAUACCAGAGGGGUUU